GAUGAAGAACGCAGCGAAAUGCGAUACUUGGUGUGAAUUGCAGAAUCCCGUGAACCAUCGAGUCUUUGAACGCAAGUUGCGCCUCAAGCCAUUAGGUUGAGGGCACGUCUGCCUGGGCGUCACAUAUCGUUGCCUGAUGCCAGUUUCCUCGUGAUGGGUGACUGUGCAGGGCGAAUGAUGGCUUCCCGUGAGCAUUGUUGCCUCAUGGUUGGUUGAAAAUUGAGUCCUUGGUAGGGAGCGCCGUGAUAGAUGGUGGUUGAGUGACGAACGAGACCCAAUCAUGUGAGACCCCUACCGAAUUGGCCUUCAUGACCCACAUGCGUCUUUGGAACGCUCAUGACGAGACCUCAGGUCAGGCGGGGCUACCCGCUGAGUUUAAGCAUAUCAAUAAGCGGAGGA
rnacentral:misc_RNA from 1 species